UACGUAGGGUGCAAGCGUUAAUCGGAAUUACUGGGCGUAAAGCGUGCGCAGGCGGCUUUGUAAGACAGAUGUGAAAUCCCCGGGCUCAACCUGGGAACUGCAUUUGUGACUGCAUCGCUGGAGUGCGGCAGAGGGGGAUGGAAUUCCGCGUGUAGCAGUGAAAUGCGUAGAUAUGCGGAGGAACACCGAUGGCGAAGGCAAUCCCCUGGGCCUGCACUGACGCUCAUGCACGAAAGCGUGGGGAGCAAACAGG
rnacentral:rRNA from 1 species